rnacentral:rRNA from 1 species
AAACCAGCACCUCAAGUGGUCAGGAGGAUUAUUGGGCCUAAAGCAUCCGUAGCCUGUUCUAUAAGUUUCCGGUUAAAUCCAUUAGCUCAACUAAUGGGCUGCCGAAAAUACUGUAGAACUAGGGAGUGGGAGAGGUAGACGGUAUUCGGUAGGAAGGGGUAAAAUCCUUUGAUCUAUUGAGGACCACCUGUGGCGAAGGCGGUCUACCAGAACACGUUCGACGGUGAGGGAUGAAAGCUGGGGGAGCAAACCGGAUUAGAAACCCGUGUAGUCC